UUGAAUAAACUUGGCUGGGUUGUUGCUGGCUUCUAGAAGUAUGUGCACGCCCAGUCCAUUUUUAUGACCACCUGUGCACCUUGUGUAGAUCUGAAGAAACUCGGGGAAACUCGGUUUGAGAAUUUGCUGUGCGAAAGCCGGCUGUUCUUGUAUUCAGAUCUACGUUAUUUACAUACCCUAAUGAAUGUAUUCGAAUGCUGUAAUUGGCCUUAUGUGCCUCUAAAAUCAAUA
rnacentral:misc_RNA from 1 species